AACGAACGCUGGCGGCAUGCCUAACACAUGCAAGUCGAACGAGACCUUCGGGUCUAGUGGCGCACGGGUGCGUAACGCGUGGGAACCUGCCCUUAGGUUCGGAAUAACUCCCCGAAAGGGGUGCUAAUACCGGAUAAUGUCUCCGGACCAAAGAUUUGUCGCCUUUGGAUGGGCCCGCGUUGGAUUAGCUAGUUGGUAGGGUAAAAGCCUACCAAGGCGACGAUCCAUAGCUGGUCUGAGAGGAUGAUCAGCCACACUGGGACUGAGACACGGCCCAGACUCCUACGGGAAGCAGCAGUGGGGAAUAUUGGACAAUGGGCGAAGGCCUGAUCCAGCAAUGCCGCGUGAGUGAUGAAGGCCUUAGGGUUGUAAAGCUCUUUUACCCGGGAUGAUAAUGACAGUACCGGGAGAAUAAGCUCCGGCUAACUCCGUG
rnacentral:rRNA from 1 species